rnacentral:tRNA from 1 species
GAUUAAAUGGCUGAAAAAUAGGCAAUAGAUUGUAAAUUUAUUUAUGAGAAAAUUCUCUUUAAUCA